AUAAUAAUUUUUGAAGGACUUAUUCCGUUUAUUCACCCUAAAACAGCUACACUAGGGUGUAUACUCGGAAA